rnacentral:lncRNA from 1 species
AGCAGUGCAGUACGCACAGCAAACUUUAGCAUGCAUGCACAGCACUUACCUUGGGAUGCAACGCAGGUACAGCUGUAACUGUAGUUCCCAUAUCGAUCCCGAGCGCAUGCACAUUAUGUCCUGUUCCAUGACUUACACACCGCACCUUGCAAGUAAAAGCACGACAUGAUUAUGAUGACCACAACGGUUAGGUGGUUGAGCGGUUGAAGUGGUUGGUUCCUUUGACCAGUCACCUCACCAAGAGGGCUUCACAUCGUCAUAAUAUCCCUCUUUUACACUGCCGUACGCCGGUGCCUCACACCACAGUCACCCAAAUACACACACAGAAAACGGGCUCUCUCUCCUCCCGUCCCGCUGUUUGCCCAAACAUGGGCGCACCACCCCUUUUGAUGGUCAAUCCGGUUGACCCGGGGAAAAAACGACCAAGUUCCGAAACCCAAACACAAACACACAUAUGACGGCACUCUGCUCCCACUCCCCACUUCCGUCCCCCGGGUGAUCCUCACAUACACACACAUACACACACAUACACACACAUACACACACAUACACACACAUACACACACAUACACACACAUACACACACAUACACACACAUACACACACAUACACACACAUACACACACAUACACACACAUACACACAUACACACACAUACACACACAUACACACACAUACACACACAUACACACACAUACACACACAUACACACACAUACACACACAUACACACACAUACACACACAUACACACACAUACACACACAUACACACACAUACACACACAUACACACACAUACACACAUACACACACAUACACACAUACACACACAUACACACACAUACACACACAUACACACACAUACACACACAUACACACACAUACACACACAUACACACACACAUACACACACAUACACACACCAAGAAUCCCUCCCCCGCUCACGCGGGGCUAACCCCCGUCUUCCCCUUACUGCCCCU